AUUAGAAUGCGAAAAGGUAAAGAAAGAAAGAAAAUACCAAAUUGUGCUGUGGGUUUUCAAAAACCAAACGCAAAGUCAAGGAUCAACAAGGGACAGCAGAUCAGAUCAGAUCAAAUGAGAUCCUUUUGGGGAAUUAACGUAUUAUUUUAAAAUUAAACUCGAGCUCACUUAAUUGCGUACUACGCAAAUCCAAAUACAGAGAUCUAGCAAAACACAAAAAGUGGAAAGGCAAAUAAACAAAUAAACACAGGACGGAAAAAGAAAAGACCGCAAGAAGGUGUAUUAACGAAAAGGGGAAUUUUGAAGAGGGAAAAAAAGAGUUAAACUAAAAUGGAGGGGAUCGAGAGAAUUUGAAAAAUGAGUGAUAAUUAAAGUAUAAUCAGGGGAGCUU